rnacentral:lncRNA from 1 species
UUCAGCUGGCUCUUUUCAUAUUACUGCAGACAUAUGGUGGGAACAUAUUAUAAAACAUUCAUUUCAAAAAGUGAUUCUGAGAAAAUAUGGAACCUGUGACCUUAACCAUUUACAUUUAAAAAAGACUAGCAAAGUGUGAAUUACUACAAGGGACAGAAAGAAAAGCAGUUAUAAUUUCUUUCUUCAAUGUUUAUCAACUACCCAGAGAAAAACUUGUCAAUGUUAUAAAUUUGGAAAGCUUUCCAGGUGUACCCAAUCUUCAGUGAACAGAAGAAAACCUUUAGCAGAGAGAAAUACUACAAAUGCAAAGAAUAUGGCAGAAACUGUAGGUAGUUCUCAGAUUUUACUAUAAAAAAUGGAAUACUUACUGCAGAGAGAUGCUACAGAUAUGAAGAAUGUGGCAAAGCCUUUAAAAAGUUCUCAAACCUUACUGAACAUAAGAGAGUUCAUACUGGAGGAAAAACCUACAAAUGUGAAGAAUGUGACAAAAUUUUAACCUGCUCCUCAACCCUUAUUAAACACAAGAUAAAUCAUUUUGGAAAUAGAUCCUACAAUUGCAAAGAAUGUGUAAAAGCCUUUAAAUGUUUCUCAGACCUUACUAAUUCUAAGAGAAUUCUCAGAACUUGCUAAAAAUAAAAUAAUUUAUACUGGAGAGAAACCAUCAUACAAAUGUGAAGAAUGUCACAGAGCCUAUGGGGGGUUCUCAGACCUUAAUAAACAUAAGAUAACUCAUACUGAAGAGAAACCCUACAUAUAUAACUAAUGUGGAGAAGCUUUUAAGUGGUUCUCAGCCGUUAGUAAACAUAAGAGAAUUUAUACUGGAGGGAAACCCUACACCUGUAGAAAAAAAAAAGUCAAAGCCUUUACCUGCUUUUCAAUCCUUAUUAACCACAAGAUAAUUCAUAUAGAAGACAGCCCUUACAAAUCUGAAGCAUGUGGCAAAACCUUUAAGUGCUUUUCAGACUUUGCUAAUCAUAAGAGAAUUCACACUGCAGGAAAAGCCUACAAAUGUGAAGAAUGUGGUGAAACAUUAAGUUCAUUCUCACACUUCAUUAGAAAUAAUAGAACUCAUAGUAGAGAGAAGCUUCACAAGUGUUAAAAAUGUGGAAAAGCUUUUAAAGCAUCCUGAUUUUAUGUCCAACAUCAGAGACUUAAUACUGAACAAAUGCCACAUAAAGGUAAUGACUGUUGAAGAAGAUUUAACUUAACAUCUUGCAGCAUCUCUAAGAACUCGCUUUAUACU